UUGCGAUCCUUGCCCUACGCCACGUGCUGUUCCACGUCGUGGCCCUCUCUCGCCUCCCACGGUGACAACGAUGCCGCGGACCGCCACUUGGCCCCCAUUAUAUCCUUGCUCCACGCGUCCCGCCUCUAGACCUUCUCUGACCGCCCAUUGCUGUCAUUCCUCCGCGCACUCCGGUGGUUCUUGUCCCUCCGCCUUUUCCUCUCUCUCAUGUCCUUCAACUCCCGCCCUUCCACCCGCUCCUUCAACACACUCCUCCAAUCUCUCAUCUACGCAUGUUGCCUCUGCCUCGCCACCGCGCUCUUCUGCGCCACAACAACCAAGCUCUACAUCAUGCCCAACCUCGUCUCCUACAACAUCGUGCUCAUGGACCUUGUCGUCAUCGGUGACUUCUACUCUAUGCUGAAGUGAGUGAAGGCCAGAUGCUACUAUGUACACGGUGCUCAUAGAUGGUAUUGCCACCGUAGGAAGUUGCAAGAUGCAGCAAGGAUCAUGGAUGAGAUGGAAACCGCUGGGGUGCAGCCAAAUGAGGAUUCAUACUCUGUGGUGGUCAAAGCCACUGCAAGGAGGGAAAAUCCACAUAGGCAUGUGAUUUAGCGAGGGAGAUGCUAGAGGCAGGUGAAAGGGAAAUUGCCAUGGAGCCAUUUCUACCUGUUUUGGUGAUCAAGUGUUCAACACACCAUCUUGAACCAUCUUCACAUGAGCAUGAGCACAUGUUUACAUAAAGGCAAGUUGAAGAGAUCAAGUCCAAAUGAGCUAAUCUGGAGGGCCAAAAGUGCAACUUUGGGCAACACAACAUAAACAUGAGGUUUAAGCGUUUGAAUAAGUUGCACACACCCUACUCUAUGUUUCUAGCACUUUGUUUUGGCUACUAAUUGUAAUACCCAAAAUCUAUAAAUAAAAAUAGAGUUAUGCAUGAUGUGGGUA